GACGAACGCUGGCGGCGUGCUUAACACAUGCAAGUCGAACGGAAAGGCCCUGCUUUUGUGGGGUGCUCGAGUGGCGAACGCGUGAGUAACACGUGAGUAACCUGCCCUUGACUUUGGGAUAACUUCAGGAAACUGGGGCUAAUACCGGAUAGGAGCUCCUGCUGCAUGGUGGGGGUUGGAAAGUUUCGGCGGUUGGGGAUGGACUCGCGGCUGAUCAGCUUGUUGGUGGGGUAGUGGCUUACCAAGGCUUUGACGGGUAGCCGGCCUGAGAGGGUGACCGGCCACAUUGGGACUGAGAUGCGGCCCAGACUCCUACGGGAGGCAGCAGUGGGGAAUAUUGCCCAAUGGGCGGAAGCCUGAUGCAGCAACGCCGCGUGCGGGAUGACGGCCUUCGGGUUGUAAACCGCUUUCGCCUGUGACGAAGCGUGAGUGACGGUAAUGGGUAAAGAAGCACCGGCUAACUACGUG
rnacentral:rRNA from 1 species